rnacentral:rRNA from 1 species
GCGUGCCUAACACAUGCAAGUCGAACGAGAAAGCUCCUUCGGGAGUUAGUAGAGUGGCGCACGGGUGAGUAACACGUGGAUAAUCUGCCUGAUAAUCUGGGAUAACAUUUCGAAAGGGAUGCUAAUACCGGAUAAGCCCACAGCCUCUUCGGAGGCAGCGGGAAAAGAUGGCCUCUUCUUGAAAGCUAUUGUUAUCAGAUGAGUCCGCGGUCCAUUAGCUAGUUGGUAGGGUAAUGGCCUACCAAGGCAACGAUGGAUAGCUGGUUUGAGAGAAUGAUCAGCCACACUGGAACUGAGACACGGUCCAGACUCCUACGGGAGGCAGCAGUGGGGAAUUUUGCGCAAUGGGGGAAACCCUGACGCAGCAACGCCGCGUGAGUGAUGAAGGUUUUCGGAUCGUAAAGCUCUGUCAAGAGGGAAGAAACCUCCAAUGGUUAAUAUCUGUUGGAAUUGACGGUACCUCUAGAGGAAGCACCGGCUAACUCCGUGCCAGCAGCCGCGGUAAUACGGAGGGUGCAAGCGUUGUUCGGAAUUAUUGGGCGUAAAGCGCGUGUAGGCGGUUUGUUAAGUCUGAUGUGAAAGCCCCGGGCUCAACCUGGGAAGUGCAUUGGAAACUGGCAAACUUGAGUACGGGAGAGGGAAGUGGAAUUUCGAGUGUAGGGGGUGAAAUCCGUAGAUAUUCGAAGGAACACCAGUGGCGAAGGCGGCUUCCUGGACCGAUACUGACGCUGAGACGCGAAAGCGUGGGGAGCAAACAGGAUUAGAUACCCUGUAGUCCACGCCGUAAACGAUGGGUACUAGGUGUUGCGGGUAUUGACCCCUGCAGUGCCGAAGCU